CCUACGGGAGGCAGCAGUGGGGAAUUUUGGACAAUGGGCGCAAGCCUGACGCAGCAACGCCGCGUGCGGGAUGAAAGGCUUCGGGCUGUAAACCGCUUUCAGCAGGAACGAAAAUGACGGUACCUGCAGAAGAAGGAGCGGCCAACUACGUGCCAGCAGCCGCGGUGACACGUAGGCUCCAAGCGUUGUCCGGAUUUAUUGGGCGUAAAGAGCUCGUAGGCGGUUGAGUAAGUCGGGUGUGAAAACUCUGGGCUUAACCCGGAGACGCCAUCCGAUACUGCUCUGACUAGAGUUCAGGAGGGGAGUGGGGAAUUCCUAGUGUAGCGGUGAAAUGCGCAGAUAUUAGGAGGAACACCGGUGGCGAAGGCGCCACUCUGGACUGAAACUGACGCUGAGGAGCGAAAGCAUGGGUAGCAAACAGGAUUAGAUACCCUGGUAGUCCAUGCCGUAAACGGUGGGCACUAGGUGUGGGUUCCAACUAACGGGAUCCGCGCCGUCGCUAACGCAUUAAGUGCCCCGCCUGGGGAGUACGGUCGCAAGACUAAAACUCAAAGGAAUUGACGG
rnacentral:rRNA from 1 species